UGAGGGGAACCGCCUGAACUGAAACAUCUAAGUAGGGCGAGGAAGAGAAAUCAACUGAGAUUCCGUAAGUAGUGGCGAGCGAACGCGGAAGAGGCCAAACCUAAUGUAGUAAUAUGUUAGGGGUUCGGACAGUAGAAUGAAUUGUCGAGAUUUAGCCGAAUGUCAUGGGAAGGGCAAUCAAAGAAGGUGAAAAUCCUGUAGGCGAAAAGUUAAGACAUCAGACUGUAUCCAGAGUACCGCCGGACACGUGAAACCCGGUGGGAAUAUGGGGGGACCAUCCUCCAAGCCUAAAUACUACUCGGUGACCGAUAGAGAAGAAGUACUGUGAAGGAAAGGUGAAAAGCACCCCGGAAGGGGAGUGAAAGAGAACCUGAAACCUUGUGUUUACAAGCACCGAAAGUUCAUCAACGAACGAUCGGGUACCUUUUGUAGAAUGGUCCGGCGAGUGAAUGUAACUGGCAAGGUUAAGCACUUAAGGUGUGAAGCCGUAGCGAGAGCGAGUCUGAAAAGGGCGCAUGAAGUCAGUUGUAUUCGACCCGAAACCGGGUGACCUACCCAUGUCCAGGCUGAAGUGCAGGUAAAACUUCAUGGAGGGCCGAACCGACUCCCGUUGAAAUGGUAGCGGAUGAGGUGUGGGUAGCGGAGAAAUUCCAAUCGAACCCGGAGAUAGCUGGUUCUCUCCGAAAUAGCUUUAGGGCUAGCCUUGGAAUAGAUUACUGGAGGUAAAGCACUGAAUUGGCUAGGGGCCGAGAGGUUACUGAACCUUAUCAAACUAAGAAUGCCAGAUAAUCGUUUUCCAGGAGUCAGACAGUGGGAGAUAAGUUUCAUUGUCAAAAGGGAAACAGCCCAGACCUACAGCUAAGGUCCCAAAGUAUAGUUAAGUGGAAAAGGAUGUGGAAUUGCAUAGACAACCAGGAUGUUGGCUUAGAAGCAGCCACUCAUUAAAAGAGUGCGUAAUAGCUCACUGGUCGAGUGAUUCUGCGCCGAAAAUUUAACGGGGCUAAACUAUACACCGAAGCUUAGGAUACCGCAAGGUAUGGUAGGAGAGCGUUCUGUACGGAGUGAAGUCGUAGCGAAAGCGGCGGUGGACUGUACAGAAGUGAGAAUGCCGGAAUAAGUAGCGAGAAUUAAGUGAGAAUCUUAAUGGCCGAAAGUCUAAGGUUUUUGGAGGAAGGUUCGUCCGCUCCAAGUAAGUCGGGAGCUAAGGUCAGGCCGAAAGGCGUAGCCGAUGCACAAACGGUUGAUAUUCCGUUACCGUCUACAAUUUAAACAAAGGGACACAUACAAAGCGUUUAACCCGGGCGAUGGUUGACCCGGGCGCAAGGGACUGAAAUAAGAGUAGGGAAGUAAAUGUGGCGUAUGGCGAGAAAAGCUUUGUGAAUAGAAGUAGACGCCCGUACCGCAAACCGACACAGGUGGACAGGAAGAGAAUUCUAAGGCCAGCGGGAGAAGGGUAGUUAAGGAACUCGGCAAAUUGACUCCGUAACUUCGGAAUAAGGAGUGCUCGAAAGAGCCGCAGAGAAUAGGCCCAGGCGACUGUUUAGCAAAAACACAGGUCUCUGCCAAAUCGAAAGAUGAAGUAUAGGGGCUGACACCUGCCCGGUGCCGGAAGGUUAAGAGGAGGAGUGCAAGCUCCGAAUUGAAGCCCCGGUAAACGGCGGCCGUAACUAUAACGGUCCUAAGGUAGCGAAAUUCCUUGUCGGGUAAGUUCCGACCCGCACGAAUGGUGUAACGAUCUGGGCACUGUCUCAACUACCCACCCGGCGAAAUUGUAGUACCGGUGAAGAUGCCGGUUACCUGCGGCAAGACGGAAAGACCCCAUGGAGCUUUACUGUAGCCUGAUAUUGGGUUUCGGAAAUCUAUGUACAGGAUAGGCGGGAGACUGGGAAGUAUGAGCGUCAGCUUAUACGGAGUCAUUGUUGGGAUACCGCCCUUAGGUUUCUGGAAUUCUAACCUGCGACCGUGAAUCCGGUCGGGGGACAUUGUCAGGUGGGCAGUUUGACUGGGGCGGUCGCCUCCGAAAAGGUAACGGAGGCGCUCAAAGGUUGGCUCAGCACGGACGGAAACCGUGCCUCAGAGUGUAAACGCAAAAGCCAGCCUAACUGCGAGGAUGACGGUCCGAGCAGUAACGAAAGUUGGAGUUAGUGAUCCGGCGGUAUGUGAAUGGAAAUGC
rnacentral:rRNA from 1 species